rfam:Ovis aries breed Texel chromosome 13, whole genome shotgun sequence.
UUCCUAGUAUAAGUAUGUCCCAUGCAAUAUUUGGGACAUACUUAUACUGUUUAAAA